UACGUAGGGGGCAAGCGUUGUCCGGAAUUAUUGGGCGUAAAGAGCGCGUAGGCGGUCCGAUAAGUCGGCUGUGAAAGUCAGGGGCUCAACCCUUGAAAGCCGGCCGAUACUGUCGGACUAGAGUCCGGAAGAGGCAAGUGGAAUUCCCGGUGUAGCGGUGAAAUGCGCAGAUAUCGGGAGGAACACCAAUGGCGAAGGCAGCUUGCCGGGACGGUACUGACGCUGAGGCGCGAAAGCGUGGGGAGCAAACAGG
rnacentral:rRNA from 1 species